UGUUGAGCAGAUUAGGCAACCAACUUAAAUGGAACUUGUAUAGGUGCCGUUUGGUUCAGCUUCUGGACGGAUUCUGGCCGCCAGAAGCUGAAGCGGCUACCAAACGCGCAGCUUCUCCAGCCGCUUUUCUGCGCCGCGCUUGGAUGAGAAUCCACCCGCCUACGCGACGCCAGAAGCGGGUCUGAGGACGCUUCCGCGGAAAGCCAGCCUCAUUUCGCUAGGGUUGCGAAGCGCCAGGAAGCAGGCACGCCGACGUACGUGCAGUGGUGUAGUCCUCCGGUGGCACGACAGCGCGUCCCCUCCUCGCGGCGAGCGACGGCGGCGGCGCGACGGCGGUCAGGAACCCCGCGGAGAGGAGCCGCACGGCUGCUCGCCGCCGGGAGACGGCACCGGGGGCGAAGGUCUCCGUCGCAGGGUGGCACGGGGUAGACGAGGGGAGCGAGCGGCGGUGCAAGGUUCUGGAAGGCAGGGCGGAGGAAGCCAUGGGAGAGUCGAGCUGGAGUGGAGGGUCCGGAAUGGCGCGCCCACAACGGCCGCCUCAUCGUCAUCAUCAUCGUUAUCCAUAAAGAAAGCACAGGGCGUGCUUAAAAUUCCAAUGCCUGGUUUUUAGAGACUUGGUAACUGGUGAUCUGUUAUAUUCUGAGUGUUGUCUCUAUACAAACAUAUAACUUCAUUUUCAACUAUGCACACUCGUUGCUACGCAAUGUUAUAGAGCGAUCUUUUGGUGUGCUUAAAAUGAAGUGGAGAAUUCUGUUAAGUCUCCCUUCAUUUUCGCUUCAGAAACAAUCCAAGAUCUGAUGAGUUAGACAUGAGUGCAUUUCGAGAUGCAAUUGCUAAUGCAUUAGUGUCGUAGUUAAAUAUGUAAAUUUAACGGUAGUUAUGUUGUAAUGAACUCCACUAAUUAUAUGGAAUGACCUUUUGUUGGUUC